GUAAUAAAAUUCAAGAAUUAAACAAAUAAAAUUAACUUAAAGAAAAUUAAGAACUAACUUAGAGAAUUCUAUGAAAUUUCAAAAAAAUAAUUUUGUAGGAGAAAAAAUUGUCUAAUUGGGUGCCAGCCGACGCGGUUAUACCAUUAAUUUAUAAAAAUUAUGUAAGUAAGAGAAAUAACACAGAAAUUUAUAGAGGUAAAAUUUUUAAAAAUAAUAAAUCUGCAAACGAACUUUAAAUAAGUAACCACAAGGAUUAGAUACCCUUUUAAAAAAAUAAUAGAGUGUACCUAAUUAAGAAAAAUCUAAAUGAACUGGCGGUGUAAAAUCAAGAUAGGGGAUCCUGCAUUGUAAUCGAUAACCCACGAUUAAAGUUACUGUUAAUAUAAUUACUCAUAUUAUUGUUUGAAAAAAUUAAAAAAUAUUUAACUUUGAAGAAAAAAAAUAUUAGAAAAACAAAUCAAUACAAGGACUAUUUUGUCAGGAAGAGUGGGAUACAUUAUUAAAAAAUAAUGGAAUAAUUAUUGAGAUAAUUAAGAAAGAGGACUUAAAAAUAAAUAACAAAUAAAAAUUUUUAUUGAAAUUGAAAUUUAACAUGCACAUAUCGCCCGUCACUCUUAUAAGAAAUAAGAUAAGUCGUAACAAAGUAGAAUAAAUGGAAAUUUAUUCUUG
rnacentral:rRNA from 1 species